rnacentral:rRNA from 1 species
AUUGAACGCUGGCGGCAGGCCUAACACAUGCAAGUCGAACGAGUGGCGGACGGGUGCGUAAUGUCUGGGAAACUGCCCGAUGGAGGGGGAUAACUACUGGAAACGGUAGCUAAUCCCGCAUACCAUCGGAUGUGCCCCGAUUGGAUUCGCUAGUAGGUGGGGUACCGGCUCACCUAGGCGACGAUCCCUAGCUGGUCUGAGAGGAUGACAAGCCACAAUGGAACUGAGACACGGUCCAGACUCCUACGGGAGGCAGCAGUGGGGAAGAUAGCACAAUGGGCGCAAGCCUGAUGCAGCCAUGCCGCGUGUAUGAAGAAGGCCUUCGGGUUGUAAAGUACUGUCAGCGAGGAGGCGUUACGCGCAGAAGAAGCACCGGCUAACUCCGUGCCAGCAGCCGCGGUAAUAC